rnacentral:rRNA from 1 species
UACGGGGGGGGGCAAGCGUUGUUCGGAAUUACUGGGCGUAAAGGGCGCGUAGGCGGCCUUCUAAGUCAGACGUGAAAUCCCUCGGCUUAACCGGGGAACUGCGUCUGAUACUGGAUGGCUUGAGUUUGGGAGAGGGACGCGGAAUUCCAGGUGUAGCGGUGAAAUGCGUAGAUAUCUGGAGGAACACCGGUGGCGAAGGCGGGUCUCUGGGCCGUAACUGACGCUGAGGAGCGAAAGCGUGGGGAGCGAACAGG